AACACCUUGUAGCUAGUACUCUGUGGUUCUCCAUGUGGUGGGAACUGUCGGUCUCCAUGGCAUCUCCUUGGAGACUUUGACGUCAAUGGUCUGGAAUAUUCCCAGAUCCAGUUCCAGAAGCUCAGUUCCUUUAGCUUUGAAGAUUGAGAAGUGUCUUGCUGGUAGAGGAUCGAGCUUUUGCAGAACCUAGCACCUGCUCGCGCUCAACAACUGCAUGCUUGCGUCAUCCAAAACAGUGCACGUUUCUGGACAAGUGUUUCUGGAUUCUGGAGCGCUGCCUGCUUGCAAUUGUUUCUGGAUUCUGGAGCGCUGCCUACUUGCAAUUGUGAGUUGAAACUACAUGUUCAGAUUCUCUGUAUUUAAUUUGCAGCAAAACAGGUUGAUUGUCAAUUUUUAAAUGUGGCCCUUUCAGUGACUGUGAUAGUAUUAGACUUGCAGUUAAAUAGAAACAUGCUUGCCAGCAAAAUGCAAUUAUUAUAUAGGGAGUGAUGCGCAUGGCUCAAACUAUUGCAUGAAUUUAAUAAAUGUACGCAUGGCUAAGAAUCUAUUAUUCUGCAUGGCUUGAACCCUGUGGUGGGAGGGGGUCCGUAGCACUGGAGUAACCAAUCAGAAUGUGUGUGGGCGGUUCUUCAACAGUGGGUCGCAGGACAGCAUUUUCUUGUUCUUGGAGCCGUUGUUGAACCAGCCUUCGGGGUGCAAUGAUGGAUUACUCAUGGCACUCCAGUCUACCGGAGGGAGCACUCUGCUGUUAGUACCUGCCUAAUGGGAAAGCAGCACAGGGUAUGUUCCUCCGGGAGCAUAUCAUGCCAUAAUAGGGAGUGUUGAGAUCUCGUUAUCAGUUCCAAUAGUUAGUUAGCUAGGAUCAUUAGAAAAUAGCUAGCUAUAAUAAUUUUUUAGUUAGACAACUGCUGCUUCUUGGCUUAUGCUAAUCUAUUAUGACGGCUUUUUUAGGAUCUUAACUCUGUGCCUACUGCACAUGGAAUUGGUAAGUUCAGGCUUUAACUAAACCUAGGUGUGCCAAGGGAACUGUAGCCUUUGACUGGAUUAGUGAAGAGUAGUCUUGAGCACUUGUGCAAGCCUUGCGUGCCAGGCUUGUUGCAACUGGAGUCGACAAGGGCUUUAAGAGCAAGGAGGUGUUGUCUCUGUGAGUCUACUGUUGUUGAACCAUCCCACACAUUCUGGUUGAUUACUUCUGUGCUCAGUUAAUGGUACUCACAGUCACAGGGUCCCUUUAGUUUAUUAUGCCCUUAUUGUAUUAGUCCCUUGAGCAAGGAAACUACUGGUGGUGGUGUUCCCUUAGUUACUGCAUGGGCUUGUCAGUACUGUGACUACUGGUUGAGGAUAGUUCAACAGAGGAUUGAGCUGAGGAACAGCAGGUUGCAGGAAAGUGUCUUCUGUCUAUCUGAACUCAGCCAGUGGUUUGACGUCUGUGUCGUGGACCUGUAGUGUACUGAACGGACGAGCAUCUGUUGUGAGUAUCAGCCUUGGUGAAAACAGCACGGCGGCCGCCCUCCUUGGAGGGGGUGUGAGGACUUCGGUCAGUCAAGAGGGGUUGAAGCGAUUGCUUGGUACAUGGUUAGCACACUAACUGUUGUACCUGUCAAUCCACUGGCUGGUUUGGACAGGCAGACGGUACUUCCCUGCAACCUGCUGUUCCUCAGCUCAAUCCUCUGUUGAACUAUCCUCAACCAGUAGUUCAGUAUUGUACAAGCCCUUGCAUGGUAGGGUUGGAGGUGGCCCCUUGCUAAUUGGUGGAAUUGAGUUUUUGUCAUUUUGUGGUUGGUUUGUUGUGAAUGUCUCAGCUCUCUUGUUGUGUACUGCUUGAUUUGGUGAUUGCUGAAUGUUGGUUGUUGUGAAAUUGGAUUGUGUGCCUUUAUUAUAGUCCCUUGGGCAAGGAAACUACGGUGCAUGGUGAUAUUGUCAGCUGUGGUGGUGAUGAUGUUGUCAGCUGUGGUGGUGAUUGGCUGGUAUUGUAUUGUAUGGAGGUGUUGAGUGGAUGGGGUUUUUUAUCCCAAUGCAUUUGCUUGUUCUCUUGCAGCCACAAUGCACACACACAGCUCCUCCUACUAGCUACUGUACUAGUGUUCCAUUCUCUCACUGCUUUUGUCUCCUCUCUCCCCCAGGUACAGACAAGCCAUGCUGCUCUGGGACAUUUGUGUAAUACACAACGUAAUACGAUUAUUUAGUGUAUGCAGGUUACUAGAGGGGAGGGGCUUACAGAGUAGACCACACCCACCUCACUAAACACUAGGGGAGGGGCUUACAUAUUGGACCACACCCACCUCACUAACAUGAAGAGGAGGGACUGCAGUUUCUAUGCAUUAUUGAUCUUGUUAAUGUAAGCAAGGUAAGCUCCAGUAUUGUAUAGAGCUCCAUGCCAUCUUUAAGUACAGGUCUGGUGAGGUGUACUGGAAGCAUGGACAAAGAUAAGUACUUCAUUUGUAUAUAGUAACCUUAACUUAACCAAGCUUUGCAGGAUGUCGGUACUAGCAUCCACAACAAAGAUAAGUAAUGUAUUAUUAAUGGUGUAGCAGUUCUCACUAGCCUUGCAGAUACACAAGUGAUGGCACAUGCACGCAUGCAUACCUCUGACCAGAUAAGUGCACAGCGUGGUGUUAUAAUGAUUGUACUGAUCACUCGUCUCUUGCAGGUGUUCAUGACAAACUAAUAAUUAAACUUAAUCAUACAUUUUUUGUCAUUAAAUUUUUUUUAUCACAGUUGUUAAAAUACUAGCACUGACAAUUAACCUAACCCUGUUUACACAAUAAUUAUCGCGUUAAAAUUG